rnacentral:rRNA from 1 species
GAUCAUGGCUCAGGAUGAACGCUGGCGGCGUGCCUAACACAUGCAAGUCGAACGGAGUCGAUUUGGAAAAUCCUUCGGGAUUGGAAUUCUCGACUUAGUGGCGGACGGGUGAGUAACGCGUGAGCAAUCUGCCCUUAAGAGGGGGAUAACAGUCGGAAACGGCUGCUAAUACCGCAUAAAGCAUCAAAUUCGCAUGUUUUUGAUGCCAAAGGAGCAAUCCGCUUUUAG